UUUGUAAUCUGGCACCUUCGGUGUCCGAGUUGUAAUCUCGAGAAGUGUUUUCCGCGCCAGACCGCAUAUAAGUCUGUUGGAAUACAGCGUCAUAGUGGUGAGAACCCCGUAACUGAUGCGGAUGCCUGGUGCUCUGUGAUACACUUUCGAAGAGUCGAGUUGUUUGGGAAUGCAGCUCAAAUUGGGUGGUAAAUUCGCAUCUAAAGCUAAAUAUUGGCGAGAGACCGAUAGCGAACAAGUACCGUGAGGGAAAGAUGAAAAGCACUUUGGAAAGAGAGUUAACAGUACGUGAAAUUGUUGGAAGGGAAACGCUUGAAGUCAGACUUGCUAUUUGGAGGUCAGCCGACAAAAAGGUGUAUUCUUGAAAUUGCAGGCCAGCAUCAGUUUUUAGGGGUGGAAAAGGGUAGUGAG
rnacentral:rRNA from 1 species